GAUGAACGCUGGCGGCGUGCCUAAUACAUGCAAGUCGAGCGAACAGACGAGGAGCUUGCUCCUCUGACGUUAGCGGCGGACGGGUGAGUAACACGUGGAUAACCUACCUAUAAGACUGGGAUAACUUCGGGAAACCGGAGCUAAUACCGGAUAAUAUAUUGAACCGCAUGGUUCAAUAGUGAAAGACGGCUUUGCUGGCACUUAUAGAUGGAUCCGCGCCGCAUUAGCUAGUUGGUAAGUUAACGGCUUACCAAGGCAACGAUGCGUAGCCGACCUGAGAGGGUGAUAGGCCACACUGGAACUGAGACACGCUCCAGACUCCUACGGGAGGCAGCAGUAGGGAAUCUUCCGCAAUGGGCGAAAGCCUGACGGAGCAACGCCGCGUGAGUGAUGAAGGUCUUCGGAUCGUAAAACUCUGUUAUUAGGGAAGAACAAAUGUGUAAGUAACUAUGCACGUCUUGACGGUACCUAAUCAGAAAGCCACGGCUAACUACGUG
rnacentral:rRNA from 1 species